GACGAACGCUGGCGGCGUGCCUAACACAUGCAAGUCGAGCGAAUUAGAGGUGGGAGCUGAGAGGUGAGAUGAGGGAGAGUAAUCUCAAAUCUCAUUUCUCACAUCCCACUUCUGGUUAGCGGCGGACGGGUGAGUAACACGUGGGGAACCUGCCCUGUACAGCGGGAUAGCCAGCCGAAAGGCUGAGUAAUACCGCAUAACGAUAGAGGAGCACAUGUUCUUUUAUCCAAAGGUGAAUAACCGGUACAGGAUGGCCCCGCGGCCCAUUAGUUAGUUGGUGAGGUAACGGCCCACCAAGGCAGCGAUGGGUAGCCGAUCUAAGAGGAUGAACGGCCACAUUGGAACUGAGAAACGGUCCAGACUCCUACGGGAGGCAGCAGUGGGGAAUAUUGCGCAAUGGGGGGAACCCUGACGCAGCAACGCCGCGUGGAGGAAGAAGGUUUUCGGAUCGUAAACUCCUGUCAUCAGGGACGAUAAUGACGGUACCUGAGGAGGAAGCCACGGCUAACUACGUGCCAGCAGCCGCGGUAAUACGUAGGUGGCGAGCGUUGUCCGGAAUUACUGGGCGUAAAGGGUGCGUAGGCGGUAAGUAAAGUCCGAUGUGAAAUUCCGGGGCUUAACUUCGGAACUGCAUUAGAAACUUACUUACUAGAGUGCAGGAGAGGGAAGCGGAAUUUCUAGUGUAGCGGUGA
rnacentral:rRNA from 2 species